AGAGUUUGAUCAUGGCUCAGAACGAACGCUGGCGGCAUGCCUAACACAUGCAAGUCGAACGAGACCUUCGGGUCUAGUGGCGCACGGGUGCGUAACGCGUGGGAAUCUGCCCUUCGGUUCGGAACAACAGUUAGAAAUGACUGCUAAUACCGGAUAAUGACGUAAGUCCAAAGAUUUAUCGCCGAAGGAUGAGCCCGCGUAAGAUUAGGUAGUUGGUGGGGUAAUGGCCUACCAAGCCGACGAUCUUUAGCUGGUCUGAGAGGAUGAUCAGCCACACUGGGACUGAGACACGGCCCAGACUCCUACGGGAGGCAGCAGUGGGGAAUAUUGGACAAUGGGCGAAAGCCUGAUCCAGCAAUGCCGCGUGAGUGAUGAAGGCCUUAGGGUUGUAAAGCUCUUUACCAGGGAUGAUAAUGACAGUACCUGGAGAAUAAGCUCCGGCUAACUCCGUG
rnacentral:rRNA from 1 species